GAUUAACGCUGGCGGCGUGCCUAACACAUGCAAGUCGAGCGGCAGCGAGUUUUACACUGAAUUCUGGAAGCUUCUAGUUGAAAGAGAAGAUUUAUUCAAGAAUUUUGUGUAAAAUGUCGGCGAGCGGCGGACGGCUGAGUAACGCGUGGGAACGUACCCCAAAGUGAGGGAUAACGCAUCGAAAGGUGUGCUAAUACCGCAUAUGGUCUUCGGAUUAAAGCCUUCGGGCGCUUUGGGAACGGCCUGCGUAAGAUUAGAUAGUUGGUGGGGUAAUGGCCUACCAAGGCGACGAUCUUUAACUGGUAUGAGAGGAUGAUCAGUCAGACUGGAACUGAGACACGGUCCAGACUCCUACGGGAGGCAGCAGUGAGGAAUCUUCCACAAUGGGCGAAAGCCUGAUGGAGCAACGCCGCGUGCAGGAUGAAGGCCUUCGGGUUGUAAACUGCUUUUAUAAGUGAGGAUUAUGACAGUAACUUAUGAAUAAGGAUCGGCUAACUACGUG
rnacentral:rRNA from 1 species